CAGCAGCCACGGUAAUACGGAGGGUGCAAGCGUUAAUCGGAAUUACUGGGCGUAAAGCGCACGCAGGCGGUCUGACAAGUCAGAUGUGAAAUCCCCGGGCUUAAUCUGGGAACUGCAUUUGAAACUGUCAGGCUGGAGUCUUGUAGAGGGGGGUGGAAUUCCAGGUGUAGCGGUGAAAUGCGUAGAGAUCUGGAGGAAUACCGGUGGCGAAGGCGGCCCCCUGGACAAAGACUGACGCUCAGGUGCGAAAGCGUGGGAGCAAACAGGAUUAGAUACCCCGGUAGUCCCUGUCUCUUAUACC
rnacentral:rRNA from 1 species